rnacentral:lncRNA from 1 species
UAGUGUGAGUGGUCCUUUGAUCUGCGGUGUCAUUGGCUAUUCGCAGCGAGGCUACUGAGUUUGACUACACGUUCCCUUGGUCCCUAGCCAUUCGGAUCCUUGCUGUGUAUAUUGGCUUCAAUAGAUUCAGGUUCGCUGUUUGGAGUAGGAUGUAUCUAGAUAGAAUCUAUCGACCUUGGUAGAAAAGGAGAAGUCCAAUGCAAUUUGCAAGACUGAGUUCAG